UACGGAGGGAGCUAGCGUUGUUCGGAAUUACUGGGCGUAAAGGGCGCGUAGGCGGCCUCCUAAGUCAGACGUGAAAUCCCCCGGCUUAACCGGGGAACUGCGUCUGAUACUGGAUGGCUUGAGUAUGGGAGAGGGAUGCGGAAUUCCUGGUGUAGCGGUGAAAUGCGCAGAUAUCAGGAGGAACACCAAUGGCGAAGGCAGCUCGCUGGGACGUGACUGACGCUGAGACGCGAAAGCGUGGGGAGCAAACAGG
rnacentral:rRNA from 1 species